AGUGAACGCUGGCGGUAGGCCUAACACAUGCAAGUCGAACGGCAGCACAGUAAGAGCUUGCUCUUACGGGUGGCGAGUGGCGGACGGGUGAGGAAUACAUCGGAAUCUACUUUUUCGUGGGGGAUAACGUAGGGAAACUUACGCUAAUACCGCAUACGACCUACGGGUGAAAGCAGGGAAUCUUCGGACCUUGCGCGAUUGAAUGAGCCGAUGUCGGUUUAGCUAGUUGGCGGGGUAAAGGCCCACCAAGGCGACGAUCCGUAGCUGGUCUGAGAGGAUGAUCAGCCACACUGGAACUGAGACACGGUCCAGACUCCUACGGGAGGCAGAAGAGGGGAAUAUUGGAAAAUGGGCGCAAGCCUGAUCCAGCCAUACCGCGUGGGUGAAGAAGGCCUUCGGGUUGUAAAGCCCUUUUGUUGGGAAAGAAAAGCAGCAGGUUAAUAACCCGCUGUUCUGACGGUACCCAAAGAAUAAGCACCGGCUAACUUCGUG
rnacentral:rRNA from 1 species